AUGAUAAGGGCCAGCAGAGCCUCGGCCGCGCAUCUCAUGAGCACUGCAGCGUCCUGGAGCCCCGCAGCCGCCAGUCUCCAGAUCAGAAGCAAUCAAGGGUGCAGUUGUUGGUAUUGGUUUCGGUACUACUAACUCCUGUGUGGCUGUUACGGAGGGCAAACAAGCAAAGGUCCCGGAGAAUGCUGAAGGUGCCAGAACUACCCCUUCUGUGGUUGCCUUUACAGCAGAUGAGGAACGACUUGUUGUUAUGCCAGCAAAAUGGCAAGCUGUCACCAACCCAAACAAUACCUUCUAUGCUACUAAGCGUCUUGUUGGACGACGAUAUGAUGACCCUGAAGUACAGAAAGACACUAAGAAUGUUCCUUUUAAAAUUGUCUGUGCUUCCAAUGGUGAUGCCUGGGUUGAGGCUCAUGGAAAACUCUAUUAUCCAAGUCAGAUUGGAGCAUUUGUGUUGAUGAAGAUGAAAGAGACUGCAGAAAAUUACUUGGGCCACACAGCAAAAAAAAUGCUGUGAUCACAGUCCCUGCUUAUUUCAAUGAUUCACAGCGACAGGCCACUAAGGAUGCUGGUCAGAUAUCUGGGCUAAAUGUGCUUCAAGUGAUCAGUGAGCCUACAGAUGCUGCUCUAGCUUAAGGUCUGGACAAAUCUGAAGAUAAAGUCAUUGCUGUGUAUGAUUUAGGUGGUGGAACCUUUGACAUUUCUAUCCUGGAAAUUGAGAAAGGAGUGUCUGAGGUGCAAUCUACCAAUGCGGACCCUUUCUUAGGAGGUUAAGACUUUGACCAAGCUUUGUUACGCCACAUUGUCAAGGAGUUCAAGAGAGAGACAGGGUGGAUUUGACCAAAGACAACAUGGCACUUCAGAGGGUUCGGGAAGCUGCUGAGAAGGUGAAAUGUAAACUUUCCUCAUCUGUGCAGACUGACAUCAACUUGCCAUACCUUACCAUGGAUGCUUCUGGACCAAAGCAUUUGAAUAUGAAGCUGACUCGAGCUCAGUUUGAAGGCAUUGUCACAGAUCUGAUCAAGAGAACAAUUGCUCCGUGUCAGAAAGCUAUGCAGGAUGCAAAAGUCAGCAAGAGUGACAUAGGAGAAGUGAUUCUGAUUGGUGGCAUGACAAGGAUGCCCAAGGUUCAGCAGACUGUACAAGAUCUUUUUGGCAGAGCCCGGAGUAAAGCUGUUAAUCCUGAUGAGGCUGUAGCCAUUGGAGCUGCCAUUCAGGGAGGUGUGUUGGCUGGUGAUGUGACAGAUGUGCUACUCCUGGAUGUCACUCCCCUCUCUGGGUAUUGAGACACUGGGAGGUGUCUUUACCAAACUUAUUAAUAGGAACACCACUAUUCCUACCAAAAAGAGCCAGGUGUUUUUUACUGCUGCUGAUGGACAAACUCAAGUAGAGGUUAAAGUGUGUCAGGGAGAACGAGAGAUGGCUGGAGACAACAAACUUCUAGAACAGUUCACUUUGAUUGGAAUUUCCCCCGCCCCUCGUGGAGUGCCCCAGAUUGAAGUUACAUUUGACAUUGAUGCCAAUGGUAUUGUGCACGUUUCUGCCAAAGAUAAAGGAACUGGUCAUGAGCAACAGAUUGUAAUCCAGUCUUCUGGUGGAUUAAGCAAAGAUGAUAUUGAAAAUAUGGUUAAAAAUGCAGAGAAGUAUGCUGAGGAAGCAGUUAAUAUGGCUGAAGGAAUUAUUCAUGACACAGAAACCAAGAUGGAAGAAUUUAAGGACCAGAUGCCUGCUGAUGAGUGCAACAAGCUAAAGGAAGAGAUUUCCAAAAUGAGAGAACUCCUUGCUCGAAAGGACAGUGAAACAGAAGAAAACAUUUGGCAGGCAGCAUCUUCCCUUCAGCAGGCAUCAUUGAAACUCUUNGAAAUGGCAUAUAAAAAGAUGGCAUCUGAACGGGAAGGUUCUGGAAGUUCUGGCACUGGGGAACAGAAGGAAGAUGAGAAGGAAGAGAAACAGUAAUCGUGGCAGUGC